rnacentral:rRNA from 1 species
AAAAAAGGUAAGCUACUAAGAGCGAAUGGUGGAUGCCUUGACUGGUAAAGGCGAUGAAGGACGUACUAGACUGCGAUAAGCUACGGGGAGCUGUCAAGAAGCUUUGAUCCGUAGAUUUCCGAAUGGGGCAACCCAAUGUAUAGAGAUAUACAUUACCUAUAUAGGAGCGAACGAGGGGAAUUGAAACAUCUUAGUACCCUCAGGAAAAGAAAUCAAUAGAGAUUGCGUCAGUAGCGGCGAGCGAAAGCGCAAGAGGGCAAACCCAGUGCUUGCACUGGGGGUUGUAGGACUGCAAUGUGCAAGAGCUGAGUUUAGCAGAACAUUCUGGAAAGUAUAGCCAUAGAGGGUGAUAGUCCCGUAUGCGAAAAACAAAGCUUAGCUAGCAGUAUCCUGAGUAGGGCGGGACACGAGGAAUCCUGUCUGAAUCCGGGUCGACCACGAUCCAACCCUAAAUACUAAUACCAGAUCGAUAGUGCACAAGUACCGUGAGGGAAAGGUGAAAAGAACUGAGGUGAUCAGAGUGAAAUAGAACCUGAAACCAUUUGCUUACAAUCAUUCAGAGCACUAUGUAGCAAUACAGUGUGAUGGACUGCCUUUUGCAUAAUGAGCCUGCGAGUUGUGGUGUCUGGCAAGGUUAAGCAAACGCGAAGCCGUAGCGAAAGCGAGUCUGAAUAGGGCGCUUAGUCAGAUGCUGCAGACCCGAAACGAAGUGAUCUAUCCAUGAGCAAGUUGAAGCUAGUGUAAGAACUAGUGGAGGACUGAACCCAUAGGCGUUGAAAAGCCCCGGGAUGACUUGUGGAUAGGGGUGAAAGGCCAAUCAAACUUCGUGAUAGCUGGUUCUCUCCGAAAUAUAUUUAGGUAUAGCGUUGUGUCGUAAUAUAAGGGGGUAGAGCACUGAAUGGGCUAGGGCAUACACCAAUGUACCAAACCCUAUCAAACUCCGAAUACCUUAUAUGUAAUCACAGCAGUCAGGCGGCGAGUGAUAAAAUCCGUCGUCAAGAGGGAAACAACCCAGACUACCAGCUAAGGUCCCUAAAUCUUACUUAAGUGGAAAACGAUGUGAAGUUACUUAAACAACCAGGAGGUUGGCUUAGAAGCAGCCAUCCUUUAAAGAAAGCGUAAUAGCUCACUGGUCUAGUGAUUUUGCGCGGAAAAUAUAACGGGGCUAAAGUAAGUACCGAAGCUGUAGACUUGCGCACAACUUAGAUUAUUUAAGUUUAGAAUAUGAGAAACUAAGUUAUGUUUAGUUAUAUUUUUACUGAUUUUUAUAGAGUAAAGAUAGAAAUAAAACUUAGUAAAAUCAGUAAAAAUAUUCUUAGGCUAAAGUUAAGUAGUUUAAGUUGUGUGCAAGUGGUAGGAGAGCGUUCUAUUUGCGUCGAAGGUAUACCGGUAAGGAGUGCUGGAGCGAAUAGAAGUGAGCAUGCAGGCAUGAGUAGCGAUAAUUAAUGUGAGAAUCAUUAACGCCGUAAACCCAAGGUUUCCUACGCGAUGCUCGUCAUCGUAGGGUUAGUCGGGUCCUAAGUCGAGUCCGAAAGGGGUAGACGAUGGCAAAUUGGUUAAU